rnacentral:rRNA from 1 species
UAAGGCAACUUCAGCGGUGGGGUUCCACCUCUUCCCAUUCCGAACAGAGAAGUUAAACCCACCAGCGCAGAUGGUACCCCGAUGAACAUCGGGGGAGAGUAUGUCGUUGCCGAUU